GCAGCGGCGGCGCUGGGGAACCUGGUCUCAGAUUUGGCGGGUCUCGGUCUUGCAGGUUAUGUGGAGGCUCUGGCGUCCAAAUUUGGGAUGCAGGGUCCAGAUUUGACGCCCAAACAGGCGGACAUGUGGCAGACCAAGCUCAGCUCGCACAUGGGUAAAGCCAUCGGCGUCUCCAUCGGCUGUAUCUUGGGGAUGUUCCCGCUGCUUUUCCUGAGCGACGACGACGACGACGACG